AUACGUAGGGUGCGAGCGUUGUCCGGAAUUACUGGGCGUAAAGAGCUCGUAGGUGGUUUGUCGCGUCGUCUGUGAAAUUCCGGGGCUUAACUCCGAGCUUGCGGGCGAUACGGGCAGACUUGAGUACUACAGGGGAGACUGGAAUUCCUGGUGUAGCGGUGAAAUGCGCAGAUAUCAGGAGGAACACCGGUGGCGAAGGCGGUUCUCUGGGCAGUAACUGACGCUGAGGAGCGAAAGCAUGGGUAGCGAACAGGAUUAGAUACCCUGGUAGUCCAUGCCGUAAACGGUGGGCGCUAGGUGUAGGGGUCUUCCACGACUUCUGUGCCGUAGCUAACGCAUUAAGCGCCCCGCCUGGGGAGUACGGCCGCAAGGCUAAAACUCAAAUGAAUUGGCGGGG
rnacentral:rRNA from 1 species